rnacentral:lncRNA from 1 species
GGACUCUUCAAUAAAAGGAGACAAGAAGGAGUUGGUGGAGUCACAAAGAGGCUCUAGCUUUCGUUUCCUCCUUCCUGUCUCUGGAUUAAUCUAUUAAUUGAUACAUUGCUGAUCUCUAUGGCCCAAUAUAAUAUAUAGCCAGGGCAGAGUAUGUGCUAAGUGUAGCCAUUUUGUAAGAGUCUAGAGCAGGGUUUCAAAAGCUGAUACCACUCCCCAGAGUUUAACAGUGGAGAAAGAAUCUGUCUUGCUUCCCUCGUGUCUGUCAGCAUGUGUCUGGGGGAAUCAUAGACAUUCAAGAGGCGUUUGUUGAAUGUAGGCUGACGAAUGGAUGGAUGGAUGGAUGGAUGGAUGGAUGGAUGGAUGGAUGGAUGAGGGAACAAGGAAAAAUGACACAGAUGUCCACCUGUCAUAAAAAGCUCUUGAGAUCCAGGUGUUCCUGUCAGCAGCAAUCAUUGCAAGCUGGAAGCUGUCCUGAUGCCGCUAAAGCUGCACACAACAGAACCGGGUCCCCGUCUCUCACAUAGAAACGAAACCCCAGGAGUGAUUCAUUCACAGGUUCCAGACCCACACAGUAGCACCUUUCCUGUGGGAAAGAAAGAAUUCCUUCAUCCCUGUGAGGACGUUCCAGUGUUCUCUGGGAGAAGAGAACACUCUGGAAUAGAACACGGAAAUGUCCGGCAUCCCUGAGGCAUCCUCUUCCUGCAGCCACCUCCCGUCUCACGGCACGUGCUGUCGGUCACUUGUGAAUGGCUUUGUUCUGUCCACAGAACUGCAGACACAAGUAAACUGAAGAUGUCGGUGUUCACAAGACCCGUGCGUGAUGCUGGAGAUGGAACCUAACUCUGCACAAAUGUCAGUCAAAUGCUUGGACACUGAACUUACAUAGUUCCUCAGCUCUUCAGGAUCAGUUUGUAUUAAACGAAAUUGAUGUGAGUUACUAGGAAGCUGUCUCUGUGCGCCUAUGUGUGCCUGAGAAUAUAGUUGCUAGGAAUGUGGAACGAGAGCUUCCUUCUCAAAUAAGUUCUGAUUUCCUCAGACAGUAUUAUCCACCAUUCUCCUUUGAACAGGGUAUACUAAUAUGAGUAUCUGGCACAGAGAUCUGAUACAUUUGAAUUUAUCACCGACCACCUAGCAGACGGAGACGCAGAUGAGCGUCAAGUGACCGCCAGACGCCAGAGCCAGGUGUGGUUGUCCACACUCGGACUAGCAGCCCUUAGAGGGCCAAGGCGGAGGAUUAAGAGUUCAAGGCCAUCCUGGGCUACCUGACAAGAAACAGGCUUGCUAGAGAUAUCUAGCAAGACCCUACCUAUCUUUUAAAAAAGAAGAGAAAAAAAGGAUUUGGGGUGGGGGGGAAACGACAGAAAAAUGCUGGACAGUUUCAUGCAGCCAUCCUGUCAAAUGUAUUACAGUGCUCAGUGGAUAUUGCAAGCAGAGCCAUGUUGCCAGAUCCUCACGGUUCCCUGAAAACCAUUUUUUAAAAAAGUCUUCAGCAUAGCCAAGACCAGAGUCUCUUGGAAAAGAAAGCUCUUCUUUACGUCUUCAAUUUCCAUUUAGGCCCGAGCUGCUGCGGGUCAGAAAUACCAGCUCGGCUGUAUGGCGAUCUCACUCUGGUUGAGUGUUCUUUCUCGAAGCCUCAGUUCCAGGCAUUCCACGGUAAGAGGGUCUCUGUGACUGCUCCUCUCCAAACCAUUUCCCUCCAUAUUCUGAAGCCACCAUCUUGGCCCACGCUGCUUCUGUCUUACUGUCUGGACAGCGCUUAAAGGGAGGCUCCUCUUGUAAUGUG